rnacentral:rRNA from 1 species
UACAGAGGGUGCAAGCGUUAAUCGGAAUUACUGGGCGUAAAGCGUGCGUAGACGGUUGCGUAAGUCAGAUGUGAAAGCCCCGGGCUCAACCUGGGAAUUGCAUUUGAGACUGCGUAGCUAGGGUGCGGAAGAGGGAAGCGGAAUUUCCGGUGUAGCGGUGAAAAUGCGUAGAUAUCGGAAGGAACACCAGUGGCGAAGGCGGCUCACUGGCCCGUAACUGACGCUGAGGCACGAAAGCGUGGGGAGCAAACAGGG